rnacentral:rRNA from 1 species
CGACCGGCGCACGGGUGAGUAACACGUAUCCAACCUGCCGAUGACUCGGGGAUAGCCUUUCGAAAGAAAGAUUAAUACCCGAUGGCAUAGUUCUUCCGCAUGGUAGAACUAUUAAAGAAUUUCGGUCAUCGAUGGGGAUGCGUUCCAUUAGCUUGUUGGCGGGGUAACGGCCCACCAAGGCAUCGAUGGAUAGGGGUUCUGAGAGGAAGGUCCCCCACAUUGGAACUGAGACGCGGUCCAAACUCCUACGGAAGGCAGCAG